rnacentral:rRNA from 1 species
AGCAGCCGCGGUAAUUCCAGCUCCAAUAGCGUAUAUUAAAGUUGCUGCAGUUAAAAAGCUCGUAGUUGAAUUUCGGGACCAAUAUGUCGGUCGUGCCUCGGUACGUACUGGCAUCGUUGGUUUCUCCCUUCUGACGAACCAUGAUGUCAUUUAUUUGGUGUCGUGGGGAAUCAGGACUGUUACUUUGAAAAAAUUAGAGUGUUUAAAGCAGGCUCACGCUUGAAUACAUUAGCAUGGAAUAAUGAAAUAGGACGUUUGAUUCUAUUUUGUUGGUUUCUAGGAUCGACGUAAUGAUUAAUAGGGAUAGUUGGGGCAUUAGUAUUCAAUUGUCAGAGGUGAAAUUCUUGGAUUUAUUGAAGACUAACUACUGCGAAAAGCAUUUGCCAAGGAUGUUUUCAUUAAUCAAGAACGAAAGUUAGGGGAUCGAAGACGAUCAGAUACCGUCGUAGUCUUAACCAUAAACUAUGCCGACUAGGGAUCGGAUGAUGUUAAUUUUUAAUGUACUCAUUCGGCG